rnacentral:rRNA from 1 species
AUGCAAUCCAACGACACACAUAUGCGAAUUGGAGACAUCAGAAGAUUAGAGAACUGCCAGAAACAAGACCUACUCACUUUGCAGCUUCGCACGAGGUGCCUCUUCCACUGCUUGACAAACGAGAAUUCACUCAAGACUGCCAAGUUUUACAAACUGCUCUGGCCUGGCGGUGAGACCGUUGCCUUCGACACUUUUUCAUCUGGAGCAGAUGUGUGUCAACCCACGUCCAAUUCCUUGUGGUCAUGCUCGUGUCUACACAAGGAGACUGAAUGCUCUGGAAUGGGAUUGUCAAAAAAGAGGAGGUCAGGUGCCUUCUCUACCUUGGGAACGGACAAUCAGCUAGCUUCACCCACCCGCCUUGGCCGCUUUAGUGUCCUAUUGGGGUGUGACUCCGGCUUCAACCUUGCAAUUGCAAGUCAUUAUCACCGGAGAUGUACCAUCUUUUGUUGUGUAUGA